GUGAACGCUGGCGGUAGGCCUAACACAUGCAAGUCGAACGGCAGCACAGUAAGAGCUUGCUCUUACGGGUGGCGAGUGGCGGACGGGUGAGGAAUACAUCGGAAUCUACUUUUUCGUGGGGGAUAACGUAGGGAAACUUACGCUAAUACCGCAUACGACCUACGGGUGAAAGCAGGGGAACUUCGGACCUUGCGCGAUUGAAUGAGCCGAUGUCGGAUUAGCUAGGUGGCGGGGUAAAGGCCCACCAAGGCGACGAUCCGUAGCUGGUCUGAGAGGAUGAUCAGCCACACUGGAACUGAGACACGGUCCAGACUCCUACGGGAGGCAGCAGUGGGGAAUAUUGGACAAUGGGCGCAAGCCUGAUCCAGCCAUACCGCGUGUGUGAAGAAGGCCUUCGGGUUGUAAAGCCCUUUUGUUUGGAAAGAAAAGCAGCAGGUUAAUACCCCGCUGUUCUGACGGUACCCAAAGAAUAAGCACCGGCUAACUUCGUG
rnacentral:rRNA from 1 species